rnacentral:tRNA from 1 species
GAGGGGAUAGCUCCAGUGGUAGAGCACAUGCUUAGCAUGCAGAAGGUCCUGGGUUCAAUCCCCAGUGCCUCCU